UUUAGCUCAGCGGUUAGAGCAUCUCACUUUUAAUGAGAGGGUCGAAGGUUCGAAUCCUUCAAGACCCA
rnacentral:tRNA from 1 species